CCUGAACACACACCUGUGGCUCAUUCACACUGAUCCUGGCAGACUACUUAAGAUGGCAAGAGAGGCUGCUUCCUCGCUGAUUGUCACACUGCCUAGCGUCAGUGUAGCCUAGCCUUUCAAAGUAUUCCUUGUGAUCCCCUAGAGUUUCCUCCUAACAUUGUUUUUCUCUGUGUACAGGCCUUCUAGAUUCCCUGCCAUCUGGAGUUCUGUGGAUGUGUGUGAGUGAGCCCAGUAGUAAAGUUGCAGAACAACAGAGGAAACAACAAAUACUCAUACACCAGCAACUCUGACGAUAACCUGCUGAAGAACAUUGAACUGUUUGACAAACUCGUCCUGCGAUUUAAUGGCCGCGUCCUGUUUGUCAAAGACGUGCUGGGGGAUGAGAUCUGCUGCUGGUCUUUUUAUGGCGAAGGCCGCAAGAUUGCUGAAGUGUGCUGCACUUCCAUUGUCUAUGCUACAGAGAAGAAGCAGACCAAAGUUGAGUUUCCCGAAGCCCGAAUAUUCAAAGAAACCCUCAAUAUCCUCAUCUAUGAGAACAACAGAGGAUCUGGACCAGGAGGCUUGCACCUUUUAGAUUCA